AUGCGGCGGUUGCAUCAGAACACUAAUCUACCAUGGCUCCUGGUGGGAGAUUUGAAUGAGAUACAAUUCCUUAAUGAGAAAGAUGGGGGCAACCCUCGACCGCAGCAAUACAUGCAUGCGUUUCAGUCUGCUAUUGAUGACUGCGAACUCAGGGACGGGUUUGUAGGAGAUCGGUUCACGUGGCAGCGAGGCCGGAUUAGAGAGAGACUAGAUCGUGGGCUGAUAAAUGAUGCAUGGUCGAUGCUAUAUCCACAUGCAGUUUUGCAGAACUUGAAUUAUAACCACUCCGACCAUAGACCCUUA
rnacentral:rRNA from 1 species